rnacentral:rRNA from 1 species
GACGAACCGUGCGAACGUUGUUCGGAUUCACUGGGCUUAAAGGGCGCGUAGGCGGUCGACCAAGUCUGGGGUGAAAUCUUUCGGCUUAACCGGAAAAGUGCCCCCGAUACUGGCCGGCUAGAGGGAGAUAGGGGCAUGUGGAACUUCCGGUGGAGCGGUGAAAUGCGUAGAUAUCGGAAGGAACGCCGGUGGCGAAAGCGGAUCUCUGGGCCAUUACUGACACUGAGAAGCGAAAGCAUGGGGAGCGAACAGG